rnacentral:piRNA from 1 species
CAGACUCUGAUUGGACCAGACACUAC